rnacentral:rRNA from 1 species
UGUACCCCAUCCACAUCCACACUGAGGCACCUUGUUUUGGAUCUAUGGAUUAAGGGGAAACCUUGUCUCCCUUACCAUAAUUUAGCAACUUUACUCGCACUCUUACCGUUAUUCUAGUUCCAUGGAUGCAUACAGCGUUAACCCAAUAAAGUACAACUUUCACCACGGAUCUAUGGUCUAGCAUCGAUGAGAACGCAGCGAAAUGAGAUAAGUAAUCGAAGUGCAGAAUUCAGUGCAUCGUCGACUCUGUAACGCACCUGGCGCCCUUUUGUCAUUCUGAAGGGCAUGCCUGUUGAGCAUCAUGAUCACUCAACUAUCAUGGCUUGCCAUGAUGAGCUUGGACUUGGGAGGCUUUAGCUGGCUCGCGGUCGGAUCCUCUCAAACGAAUCAGCUUUCCAGUGUUUGGUGGCGUCACAGGUGUGAUACUAUCUACGCUUGUGGGUUGCAUGCCAGGUAGCCUGUUCCGACGGAGGCUCGCUGGAGCUUAUAGAUGCUUUGUGCCAGUGAGGAAAGCACUUUGAACGUUCGAUGUCAAAUCAGGUAGGGUUACCCGAAGAAUUUAAGCAUAUCAAUAAGCGGAGGAAAAGAAGGUUUCAAGGAUUCCCUUAGUAACUGGGAGUGAAGCGGGAAGAGCUCAAAUUUAAAAUCUGGCGUGCCUCGGGUCGUCCGAGUUGUAGUCAGGAGAAGCGUUUUCCGCGUUGGGCCGUGUAUAAGUCUAGGGAACAGGGCGUCAUAGAGGGUGAGAAUCCCGUCAGGACACGGACUGCCAAUGCUUUCUGAUGCGCUCUCAAAGAGUCGAGUUGUUUGGGAAUGCAGCUCAAAAUGGGUGGUAAAUUCCAUCUAAAGCUAAAUAUAGGCGAGAGACCGAUAGCGAACAAGUACCGUGAGGGAAAGAUGAAAAGCGAGAGGAAAGAGAGUUAAACAGUACGGGAAAGGAAGAAAGGGAAACGCUUGAAGUCAGUCGCAUAAGCCGGGACUCAGCCUUGCUUUUGCACGGUGUACUUUCCGGUUGGAUGGGCCAACAUCAAUUUUGUCCGUCGGAGAAAGGCGUUGGGAACGUGGCGCCGUUGGGUGUCCUUAGCCCUUUGUUGUGUACGGCGGGGGGAUGAGGCCUGCACCAUGCGUCUUGGCCGGGGUGCGCCCACGUACGGCAUAUGAGUGUCAACAUUCA